UUGGCUGUGGGUCUGCCGCGGAGAUUGGAUGUUGCUUACCUGAAGCUCCGCCUUUUUCCUUUUCUCUUCUCGGCCCAUUGGUUGGCCAGAACGUCUGUUCUUGUCUGAAGAACUUUUAAGCAAAAAAAAAAAAAAAAAGCUUUUCCUUCGGCCCAGGCCCGAAUUACGAUUCGGGCUGCUCCGGAUGGUUUUGUAGAGUUGUAGCAUUUGGGGAGACCUUGGGGGGGAAAAAAUAAGGAAAAGGGAGAUUGAAGGCGCUUAUAUUAAAGAACAGAAGUGACACCUACUGGACUAAUGGAUAAACAAUUUAUAAACAGCCAUGGAAGGUUAUUUCAAUAUAUGAUUACCGCAGCAAGAUUAUUACAGGCACAGAAAUGGAAAGAUUCAACUCUACUCGCUGGUUGAAGUCGCAAGAUUUUUUGAAAGGAAUAAAUUCUUUGAUUAAAGAUAUUAUCUACGUUUA